rnacentral:rRNA from 1 species
GUUCCUACGGGGGGCAGCAGUGGGGGAUAUUGCACAAUGGGGGGAACCCUGAUGCAGCGACGCCGCGUGGGUGAAGGAGCGUUUCGGCGCGUAAAGCCCUAUCGGCAGGGAAGAAGGAGGACGGUACCUGACUAAGAAGCCCCGGCUAACUACGUGCCAGCAGCCGCGGUAAUACGUAGGGGGCAAGCGUUAUCCGGAUUUACUGGGUGUAAAGGGAGCGUAGACGGCCAUGCAAGCCAGGGGUGAAAGCCCGGGGCCCAACCCCGGGACUGCCCUUGGGACUGCAUGGCUGGGGUGCGGGAGGG